AGAGUUUGAUCCUGGCUCAGAUUGAACGCUGGCGGAAUGCUUUACACAUGCAAGUCGAACGGUAACAGCAGAGCUUGCUCUGGCUGACGAGUGGCGGACGGGUGAGUAAUAUAUCGGAACGUGUCCAAUAAUGGGGGAUAACUAGCCGAAAGGUUGGCUAAUACCGCAUACGCCCUGAGGGGGAAAGCUGGGGAUCUUCGGACCUGGCGUUAAUGGAGCGGCCGAUACCUGAUUAGCUAGUAGGUGGGGUAAAAGCCUACCUAGGCAACGAUCAGUAGCUGGUCUGAGAGGACGACCAGCCACACUGGGACUGAGACACGGCCCAGACUCCUACGGGAGGCAGCAGUGGGGAAUUUUGGACAAUGGGGGCAACCCUGAUCCAGCCAUUCCGCGUGAGUGAAGAAGGCCUUCGGGUUGUAAAGCUCUUUCGCAAGAGAAGAAACGAUAUAGGUUAAUAGCCUAUGUUAAUGACGGUAUCUUGAUAAGAAGCACCGGCUAACUACGUGCCAGCAGCCGCGGUAAUACGUAGGGUGCAAGCGUUAAUCGGAAUUACUGGGCGUAAAGCGUACGCAGGCGGUUUGGUAAGUCAGAUGUGAAAUCCCCGAGCUCAACUUGGGAACUGCGUUUGAAACUACCAGACUAGAAUAUGUCAGAGGGGGGUAGAAUUCCACGUGUAGCAGUGAAAUGCGUAGAGAUGUGGAGGAAUACCAAUGGCGAAGGCAGCCCCCUGGGAUAAUAUUGACGCUCAUGUACGAAAGCGUGGGGAGCGAACAGGAUUAGAUACCCUGGUAGUCCACGCCCUAAACGAUGUCAACUAGUUGUUGGUGGAGUAAAAUCCAUGAGUAACGUAGCUAACGCGUGAAGUUGACCGCCUGGGGAGUACGGUCGCAAGAUUAAAACUCAAAUG
rnacentral:rRNA from 1 species